CAAUAGCGUAUAUUAAAGUUGUUGCAGUUAAAAAGCUCGUAGUUGGAUUUCGGGGCGGCCCGGCCGGUCCGCCGCGAGGCGAGCACUGGUCGGGCGCCCUUCCUCUCGAAGGCUUCGACUGCUCUUGAUUGCGGUGGUCGAGGAGUUCGGGACGUUUACUUUGAAAAAAUUAGAGUGUUCAAGGCAGGCCGUCGCCUGAAUACAUUAGCAUGGAAUAAUGGAAGAGGACCUCGGUCCUAUUUUGUUGGUUUCCAGGGCCGAAGUAAUGAUUAAGAGGGACAGUUGGGGGCAUUCGUAUUCAAUUGUCAGAGGUGAAAUUCUCGGAUUUAUGGAAGACGAACAAGUGCGAAAGCAUUCGCCAAGGAUGUUUUCAUUAA
rnacentral:rRNA from 1 species